AUACUUUCGUCUGACCUCCAAAGAGCAAGUUUAAAGUGUUACUCCUCCACAUGCGAAAAGCACAUGCAAACAACACAAACACUUCCACGAGUCUAGCCAAGUCAUCUCAAUAUUUACAAUAUGACUCUCUCCUGAUCUCUGUGUUACGCCGACACGCACAGCACCAUAAACACACAUAAACGCACCGACAAACACACAAAUAACUGCAAACACAUAAGUGAAUCACCAAAAAAAGGACAUACAUACACACACACAUACACACUGACAUACAUAUCACUCAUCUGUCCCAGAAGAAUGGUGAUCCCCCUCCUGCUGGGUGCAGUCCUGGCUCUACUCAUUGUGCUGACCGUGUGCGGCAACGUCCUGGUGUGCCUGGCUGUUUGUGCCACCCGCCGCCUGCGCUGCGUCACCAACUGCUUCAUCGUCUCGCUGGCCGUCACCGACCUCCUCCUGGGGGCACUGGUGCUCCCCUUCUCCGCCAUGCUGGAGUUGAACGCGGGCGCGUGGCCGCUGGGCGCCGCCUUCUGCAACGUCUACAUCUCCCUGGACGUCAUGUUCAGCACGGCGUCCAUCUUGAACCUGCUGGUCAUCAGCAUGGACCGCUACCUGGCCGUGACGGCGCCGCUGCGCUACACGGCCUUGCUGAAGCCGGCGCGCGUCGGCGUGGCGCUGGCCGUCGUCUGGCUCGUCUCGGUGGGCCUCUCCUUCGUGCCCAUCCACAUGGGCUGGAACACGAAGGACGGCACCGUGCAGAACGUGGCCAAGGACGAGGAUGGCGUCGCCGGCACAUGUAAAUUCGACCUGAACCCCGUCUACGCCACCGUGGAUGCGCUGUUCACCUUCUACCUGCCGCUGCUGGCCAUGUGCUGGAGCUACUGCCGCGUGUUCCGUAUCGCCCGGGCUCAGGCGCGCCGCAUCGUGGCCACGCGGCGGGCCGGAGGCUGCAGUUCCGGGACAGGCCAAUGGGGGGUGCUGGCGAUAGCGGCGCGCGAGCACAAGGCCACGGUGACGCUGGCGGCGGUGGUGGGGGCGUUCGUGGUGUGCUGGAUGCCCUACUUCACCUACUUCACGGUCAUGGGUCUGCUGCGGAGGGACAUGCAGGGAACGGCCUACUCCGUGGUGCUGUGGCUCGGCUACGCCAACUCGGCGCUCAACCCGUUCCUGUACGCUGCGCUCAACCGCGACUUCCGCUUGGCUUACGCACGGCUCCUGCGCUGCCAGAGGGUAAAGGCCACGGAUCUUGACUCAAACGGGGGAGGAGACUGGGGGGUGGCACACAAGCAUUUCCUCAGCAGAACAGGGUCUGUAACCAGAGGGGGGAUCAUGAUGCAGGAGCUGAAUGGGAGUGCCAUGACCGCCCUGAAAAAUGGUAAAACACUAACCAUGGACACAGAGAUAACUGACGGCAAUAACAGAUUAAGAUGAGGAAUGUGUGUGUGGGGGGGGGCAUCUCUGGAUUAAGUCCCUUAUCUGUGUCCUUCUCCAAGACUUCAAAGGCAUUACAUAGGCUUGGUGUCACCCUGCCAUGAGGAGGACGACACCAAAGGACCGUUUGAAAUGGCUGGCAGCCACUCCACAGGUGCAGAGAGGCUGAGGACCAGCAGGCUCGUUCCAGCCAGCUACUCAACCAAUCACUGGAGGUGUCGCAUAGGGACAACAGAGGACACGCAGAGGCCUCGCCAGCCUUCAAGCACAGGGGGGGUCACGGAAACGUUCAAGCCAAAAAGCAACCAGCGGCAACAAAAGCUUUCCCCUCAAAUGACAUUGGCUAUUCAUGCUAUCACUUGAACUGAAAUGAGCCACAUUGUACAACCCCUUGAAUUCUUUUCUAAGUGGCUCUUAACUCAAACACUGCGGUACUGAUCCUUUCAGGCAGGGUGUGUUGAACUUAACAGUGUAGCAUGUGUGCCCCCUACUGGUGAAAGAAACAAAAUCUAUUGUUUUUAAUUGGGGGGAGGAAAGAGAAAACAAAAUGGCAACUUGCUUAAAAUAUUCUUCAGAUAUUUAUGGGAUGCAUCUAAUGACAGUAUUAAAAUAUGUUUCAUGUCUAAAAUAAAUGCGAAAUGAGCAUUUCAGUGUUA